AACGCACAUUGCGCCCUCUGGUAUUCCGGGGGGCAUGCCUGUUCGAGCGUCAUUAUAACCACUCAAGCUCUCGCUUGGUAUUGGGGUUCGCGGUUUCGCGGCUCCUAAAAUCAGUGGCGGUGCCUAUCGGCUCUACGCGUAGUAAUACUCCUCGCGAUUGAGUCCGGUAGGUCUACUUGCCAGCAACCCCUAAUUUUUUAAGGUUGACCUCGGAUCAGGUAGGGAUACCCGCUGAACUUAA
rnacentral:misc_RNA from 1 species